AGAUUGAACGCUGGCGGCAUGCUUUACACAUGCAAGUCGAACGGUAACAGGCCGCAAGGUGCUGACGAGUGGCGAACGGGUGAGUAAUGUAUCGGAACGUGCCCAGUCGUGGGGGAUAACGCAGCGAAAGCUGCGCUAAUACCGCAUACGAUCUAUGGAUGAAAGCGGGGGACCGUAAGGCCUCGCGCGAUUGGAGCGGCCGAUAUCAGAUUAGGUAGUUGGUGGGUAAAGGCUCACCAAGCCAACGAUCUGUAGCUGGUCUGAGAGGACGACCAGCCACACUGGGACUGAGACACGGCCCAGACUCCUACGGGAGGCAGCAGUGGGGAAUUUUGGACAAUGGGCGCAAGCCUGAUCCAGCAAUGCGCGUGCAGGAAGAAGGCUUCGGUGUAACUGUUUUUGUACGGAACGAAACGGUCUAGGUUAAUACCGUGGGCUAAGUGACGGUACCGUAAGAAUAAGACACCGACUAACUACAUGCCAGCAGACCG
rnacentral:rRNA from 1 species